UUCCGGUGUCCCGUUUCAAGUUUUGAAUUCACAAAGGAAGCGCCCAUUCUAGUGCCGUCAUCUUGUAGCGAGUGUAAAUGAAGGAAGAUUCAUAUGCCUAAGAAAGUGAAGUAAAAUCUUCAGACAGGUCAAGCAUCGAGCCCCAAUCGAUAACAAAGAACAUACAGGAAGACCAUGUUUGG